rnacentral:rRNA from 1 species
CAAUAGCGUAUAUUAACGUUGUUGCAGUUAAAAAGCUCGUAGUUGGAUUUCUGGAGGGAGCGUCGGCCCGUAUUUACGAGUGCGUGACGUCUCUGUCCAUCCUUGCGGGAAGGCACGGCAUUGAUUUGUUGUGUCGGAUCGCAUCAUUUACUGUGAAAAAAUUAGAGUGUUCAAAGCAGGCUUUCGCUUGAAUACAUUAGCAUGGAAUAAUAAGAUAGGACUUUGGUGCUAUUUUGUUGGUUGAGCCUAAAGUAAUGAUUAAUAGGGAUAGUUGGGGGCACCUGUAUUGCGUUGUCAGAGGUGAAAUUCUUGGAUUUACGCAAGACAAACAGCUGCGAAAGCAUUUACCAAGGAUGUUUUCAUUA